rnacentral:lncRNA from 1 species
GUAACUGUACAUCUAAAUGUGCAGAAAAUGUUUCUGUUGAAAGUCGAAAAUAUGAAUUUGAGAGGUUUUGGUCGCUAAAUUCAUAUGGUACUCAAACUAAUUUUAUUGCUGCUAGUGUAUCCGAGAUUGAAAAAAAAGGUCUUAUGGUAGAAAUAUUGAAAAAAGGAAAUUCUAUCGAAUUUAUAAAAUAAAGGACACAAAAGUUUGUAGAGAAAUGUUUAUAAAUACUCUAAACACUAAACUACAUUUCGAGUAAACACUGCUUUAAGAAAUUUCAUGGUCGGGCUCCUAUUAGUGAUCAAAGAGGUUUAAAGCAGGGAGGCAAAAACAAAUUAGCAGCUGAACGAAUUCAAGCAGUUGUUAGUCAUAUUAAUAAAAUACCUAAAUACAUUUCACACUACCGUCGGGAACAAACAGAGGUGAAAUAUUUACCACCUGGUAUCACUUUACAACAAAUGUAUGACAUGUACAAGCAGGAAGAAACCAAUCCCGUAAGCUUAAUGAUAAACAAGAACAUAUUCUACACGAAAUUUAUUAAAAAAAGACACGUGCAAUGUUUGCGAUACUUUUAAAAUGAAAAUAGAUAAUGAAAAGGAUGAAGAAAAAAAAAGAAGAGUUCAAGCAGGAACAUACGAAGCAUUUGCAAGUUGCAGAGGAGGCACAGAAAAUGAGAAGAGAUGAUUUCAAGAUAGCGACUGAACAAACAGAUCAAGAGUGUUUAAGUUUUGACUUGGAAAAAACCCUACCCCAGAAUACCUACAGGCAUCGUAUUUUAUAAGCGUCAGUUGUGGGUGUAUAAUGCAGGAAUACACAGUGCUAAAGAAAAUAGAGGACACUGCUACGUUUGGGUAGAAGGUUCAGCUGGAAGGGGCGCCCAAGAAAUAGGCUCUUGCCUUAUAAAACAUGUUACAACUAAAUUAACUCCAGAAGUCAAACAUCUUACGCUUUGGUGUGAUUCUUGCGGUGGGCAAAA